rnacentral:rRNA from 1 species
CACGUAGGGACCAAGCGUUGUCCGGAUUUAUUGGGCGUAAAGCGCUCGUAGGCGGUUUGGUAAGUCGGGUGUGAAACCUCCAGGCUCAACCUGGUGACGCCACCCGAUACUGCUAUGACUUGAGUUCGGUAGGGGAGACUGGAAUUCCUGGUGUAGCGGUGAAAUGCGUAGAGAUCGGCAGGAACAGCCCAGGGGGAAACCGAGCCGACUGGGCAUCUACUGACGCUGAGGUGCGAGAGCGUGGGGAGCGAACCGG